UACGAAGGGGGCUAGCGUUGCUCGGAAUGACUGGGCGUAAAGGGCGCGUAGGCGGUUUGGACAGUCAGGCGUGAAAUUCCUGGGCUUAACCUGGGGGCUGCGCUUGAUACAUCCAGACUUGAGUGGGGAAGAGGGUCGUGGAAUUCCCAGUGUAGAGGUGAAAUUCGUAGAUAUUGGGAAGAACACCGGUGGCGAAGGCGGCGACCUGGUCCUUUACUGACGCUGAGGCGCGAAGGCUAGGGGAGCGAACGGG
rnacentral:rRNA from 1 species